rnacentral:lncRNA from 1 species
CAAUUACUUAAAGCACUAAUUUUGUGGUAGAGACUUUCUAUAUAAGAUGGAAGAAAGGUGAAUUCAGGAAAAUUGAGGAAGAUGAAUUGCAGAAGAUGCUCAUGUAGAAGGACAUCCUGACUGAUACACAUGUACACAUAUGAAGAUCAAGAUAAAAAGACUGAAAGAGUUUAUUACUCAUGAGGCCUGACUUACAAGAAUUGCGAAGUUGAAGUGAAAGAAUACUAGACAGCAACACCAAAACAUAUGAAAAUAUAAAGCUCU